CGCCCGCCGCGCGCGGCGGGCGGGGCGGGGGCACGGGGGGCCUACGGGAGGCAGCAGUGGGGAAUAUUGGACAAUGGGCGAAAGCCUGAUCCAGCCAUGCCGCGUGUGUGAAGAAGGUCUUCGGAUUGUAAAGCACUUUAAGUUGGGAGGAAGGGCAGUAAGUUAAUACCUUGCUGUUUUGACGUUACCAACAGAAUAAGCACCGGCUAACUUCGUGCCAGCAGCCGCGGUAAU
rnacentral:rRNA from 1 species